rnacentral:rRNA from 1 species
GCGCUGAAUCACUUCUCCUCUGGGGUCGUGAGGUGUAGCGUACAGACCGUGAGCUUGGAUUGGCCUGCUUGUUCAAGUUUCCCUUGACCGGGGCUCCAGAGAAGGUGCAAGACCUGUCCAACGAGUGGUUGCCUAUCCAUCUUCGCGUGUCUUGGAGUCGGGUUGUUUGGGAUCGCAGCCCAAAGUAGGUGGUAAACUUCAUCUAAGACUGAAUACGGCCACGAGUCCGAUAGCGAACAAGUACCGUGAGGGAAAGUUGCAAAGCACUUUGAAGAGAGAGUUAAAGAGGACGUGAAACCGAUGAGAUGGAAACGGACAGAGCUGGCGUAUCUGGUCUGCAUUCAUCCGUGUGUUCUUGGGCGUUUGGAUUGCCACUCCAGACUGGGAUGGUGUUCAUUCUGUUCAGGGGCUCAUGGAGCAUUUGCAGGCGGAGUGCGCUGAGAUGCUCGGAGCAGCUGCAUGAGCUUGGCUUUGAGGCCAGCCCUUCGGGGUCUGGUACCCGGGCUGUGGGAGUGCUGUUUGUUCUGGGUGCUGAGUGUGUGCAAUGGCAACGGGUCCGUGUUGGUUUGAGCUGGCGGUCGGUGGCGGUCGCGUGCGACACGUGCCAGCAGUCAGUUCGGUCCUGCUCGGGCUCUCAUUGCAUGUUCUCGGUGUAAAAGCCGGUCAUCUGUCCGACCCGUCUUGAAACACGGACCAAGGAGUUUAGCGUGUGCGCGAGUCAUUGGGAGUUGAAAACCCAAGGGCGUAAUGAAAGUGAAGGUCUCCUUGCGGAGCUGAUGUGUGAUCUCGUGCACCCCGGUGUGCGGGCGCAACAUAGUCCCGUCCCGAUCGCAUGCGAUGGGGCGGAGACAGAGCGUACGCGCUGAGACCCGAAAGAUGGUGAACUAUUCCUGAGCAGGAUGAAGCCAGAGGAAACUCUGGUGGAAGUCCGAAGCGAUUCUGACGUGCAAAUC